CUUACACUCUAGCAGCCAAUCACAUCCCAUGCUUUACCUCAUUUUUGUCACCAAUCAGAAAAAGGAAAAAAGAAAGGAAAGAUGAACUCUCUCCUCUCUCUCCCUCGUCGAGCUCCAUUUUCCUCUCUACAACCUUCACAAAAACACACAAAAAUUCACAAAUGUGACAAACCAACUACAACAUUGUGUUCAUCUCAGUCUCACGAUCACAACCAUGUCCUUGAAAUCCGGUGUAGACGAGUUUUGACUCACCAACUCAGAAGGUUCGACUUGGCGAGUUCGAUAUAACGAUUUUCAGGCCAUUCAUGGCUUAGAAAACUCAAGAAGAAUAAGAACCUGCACAUUUUUCAGUCAAGGACCGUGACCAUUUGGUCACUUUCAACCCAUUUUUUUCCGGUCAACCUCGACCACAACUGGACUCCUACUAGGUACAAACUUGUUCUCUACAUUCCUAAAUUCAAAAUGGCUUUUGAAUCACUGAGUUUGGUUAAGUAUCGAGUUAGAAAUCAACUCUAGAAGUUGGGAAGAAAAUUUCAGUUUUCUGGAAAUUUACAACCGUGGUCAUUUGGCCACUUUUAGGCCAAAAUUCUGAAUAACACGGACCAUAUUCGAACUUUCUGUGAAUUGGGAUCAAUACAUCACAUUCCUAGCUUUAAUUUUGCUUUUGUAGAAGUGUUUUUGGUCGAGAAUCGAGCUCGUUAGGAGCCCUGGAAGUUGACUUAAAAAUCUACAAAACUGCAGAAAAUCGCGAGGAAGGCAAGUACACUUAUUCUCGCAGGCGCUUGGGUACGCGUGACAAAUCUGUGCAGCCCCUUUGGGCAACACGUGACGGUGCGUCCGGCCUCCAGCCGGCGUGUGGUCGACACGUGCAUGUUCGUGUCGUCCAGUAGAUCGAUUUCAUAUAUUUAAACCCUAGGUUUGAGCAAACUAUGAGGGUUUUAUUUAGGUUUCUGUUAUGUGCUUUAAUUAAUGUUAUUUUAGUUAUUUCACAUAUAGGGGAAACUUAUCCCGAGGAUUUACGAGGCCAAGCUAGGCUCGAGGGCUAUGACCCAGCAACGUACUUGACCUAGAUAGCUGUACUCUUUGUGGCACUCGAGGAAUCCCGGCAGUUCUGACAUUUCCUUCUGUUUUAGACGUACGAACUUAUCACUAUUAUGAAAUAAGUGUACUUUGGUUGUUUUGACUACUCUUCUGUAGUCUCACUAUCUAUUACGCUUUGAAUAAUCGUAGUGGGUUCAACCCACGAUUGCGCA